rnacentral:rRNA from 1 species
AGUGAACGCUGGCGGUAGGCCUAACACAUGCAAGUCGAACGGCAGCACAGUAAGAGCUUGCUCUUACGGGUGGCGAGUGGCGGACGGGUGAGGAAUACAUCGGAAUCUACUUUUUCGUGGGGGAUAACGUAGGGAAACUUACGCUAAUACCGCAUACGACCUACGGGUGAAAGCAGGGGAUCUUCGCACCUUGCGCGAUUGAAUGAGCCGAUGUCGGAUUAGCUAGUUGGCGGGGUAAAGGCCCACCAAGGCGACGAUCCGUAGCUGGUCUGAGAGGAGGAUCGGCCACACCGGAACUGAGACACGGUCCAGACACCUACGGAAGGCAGCGGUGGGGAAUAUUGGACAAUGGGCGCAAGCCUGAUCCAGCCAUACCGCGUGGGUGAAGAAGGCCUUCGGGUUGUAAAGCCCUUUUGUUGGGAAAGAAAAGCAGCAGGUUAAUACCCCGCUGUUCGGACGGUACCCAAAGAAUAAGCACCGGCUAACUUCGU